rnacentral:rRNA from 1 species
GAUGAACGCUGGCGGCGUGCCUAAUACAUGCAAGUCGAGCGAACAGACGAGGAGCUUGCUCCUCUGACGUUAGCGGCGGACGGGUGAGUAACACGUGGAUAACCUACCUAUAAGACUGGGAUAACUUCGGGAAACCGGAGCUAAUACCGGAUAAUAUAUUGAACCGCAUGGUUCAAUAGUGAAAGACGGUUUUGCUGUCACUUAUAGAUGGAUCCGCGCCGCAUUAGCUAGUUGGUAAGGUAACGGCUUACCAAGGCGACGAUGCGUAGCCGACCUGAGAGGGUGAUCGGCCACACUGGAACUGAGACACGGUCCAGACGCCUACGGGAGGCAGCAGUAGGGAAUCUUACGCAAUGGGCGAAAGCCUGACGGAGCAACGCCGCGUGAGUGAUGAAGGUCUUCGGAUCGUAAAACUCUGUUAUUAGGGAAGAACAAAUGUGUAAGUAACUAUGCACGUCUUGACGGUACCUAAUCAGAAAGCCACGGCUAACUACGUG